rnacentral:rRNA from 1 species
AACGAACGCUGGCGGCAUGCCUAACACAUGCAAGUCGAGCGGAGAUGAGGUGCUUGCACCUUAUCUUAGCGGCGGACGGGUGAGUAAUGCUUAGGAAUCUGCCUAUUAGUGGGGGACAACAUUCCGAAAGGAAUGCUAAUACCGCAUACGUCCUACGGGAGAAAGCAGGGGAUAUUCGGACCUUGCGCUAAUAGAUGAGCGUAAGUAGGAUUAGCUAGUUGGGGGGGUAAAGGGCUACCAAGGCGACGAACUGUAGCGGGUCUGAGAGGAUGAUCCGCCACACUGGGACUGAGACACGGCCCAGACUCCUACGGGAGGCAGCAGUGGGGAAUAUUGGACAAUGGGGGGAACCCUGAUCCAGCCAUGCCGCGUGUGUGAAGAAGGCCUUAUGGUUGUAAAGCACUUUAAGCGAGGAGGAGGCUACUGAGACUAAUACUCUUGGAUAGUGGACGUUACUCGCAGAAUAAGCACCGGCUAACUCUGUGCCAGCCGCCGCAGUAA